AUUGAACGCUGGCGGCAUGCCUUACACAUGCAAGUCGAACGGCAGCACGGGAGCAAUCCUGGUGGCGAGUGGCGAACGGGUGAGUAAAGUAUCGGAACGUGCCCAGUCGUGGGGGAUAACGUAGCGAAAGUUACGCUAAUACCGCAUACGAUCUAUGGAUGAAAGCGGGGGAUCGCAAGACCUCGCGCGAUUGUAGCGGCCGAUAUCAGGUUAGGUAGUUGGUGGGGUAAAGGCUCAUCAAGCCGACGAUCUGUAGCUGGUCUGAGAGGACGACCAGCCAAGCUGGGACUGAGACACGGCCCAGACUCCUACGGGAGGCAGCAGUGGGGAAUUUUGGACAAUGGGCGAAAGCCUGAUCCAGCCAUGCCGCGGGCAGGAUGAAGGCCUUCGGGUUGUAAACUGCUUUUGUACGGAACGAAAAGGUUUGGCCUAAUAAGCUGAGCUCAUGACGGUACCGUAAGAAUAAGCACCGGCUAACUACGUGCCAGCCGCCGCAGUAA
rnacentral:rRNA from 1 species